AUCCAGCAGCAGUUAAACCCCUUGUAAGAUUCAUCAUAAAGCGUGACAUGAGAAAAUUAUGACAUUUGCUUUGUAAUACACCAAAGGAGGAAUAAAAGGAUUCCAGACAAAGCCAGGAACAUAAACUGUAUGUGUAGUAAGCUAAUGCAUUAAAAGGCCCUUCUGGUUUAUCUUGGAAAUGAAAAUAGGAUGCAAUAAUUCCAUUCCAUUAUGUGGUACACAAGGAAUCCAUAAUUUCUGCACUACAUUUAUAUGUCUGCCUCGAUUAAAUUUCUGCAAAAUGAUAUCAAUUUUCUGUUUAAUUUUCAACAUUACCUACAAACCACAUUUUAUCACAAAAAUAGAUCAUAGAGGGAAAUUUUGGAAUAGGAUAUCAAUUUACAGCAAGCAUGUCCCAGUUAAUAAAGAUAGGUUCAAACAAAAGUUUGCAAAGUAACACUUCAAACAUAU
rnacentral:misc_RNA from 1 species